rnacentral:miRNA from 1 species
UAUAGCCCUGUGAAGUUUGCAAAUUUUGUAUAUAUUUGUAUUACGCGCGGUAAAAAUAACCACUUUCGGCUGAAAAAUGGUCAUUUUUCUCGCGCGUAAUGCAAAUAUAUAGAAAAUUUGGGAACUUCACAGGGCUAUAUUUUCCUC